rnacentral:lncRNA from 1 species
CAGGCCAGAGCCUGCUCAACUGCUGGCAUAUGCUGUCCAUGCGUCUUACAGGCCGGCUCUGUGUCCCUCACUGGGGGCCAGAGCAGCUUCGUGACCUUCAGGCCAGCUGGAAGCUAGAGUCAUUGUGGCAGGAAACAAGGUUUAUAAACCAUGAUCAUCCUAUCCUUUAAUAUUUAUGAGAGUGAAAACAUCUCUUAAAAUGGCAGCCUACAAUAUGGUGGACAAGAUUCUGGCUCCCGUGGAAACCAGUGUUCACAGAUGAUUUUGAAUAAAAUAGCUUCACACAGCAUCUCAGUUUACAUUAUAAAAUGGAAAAUAACCAAAACUCACAACUGAAAAUUCAUAAGGCAACUUGCCAGCUGUCAACAAUGACCUUCUAGUGCAGACAUGACUUUAAAACACCUGUAAGCAUUAGAAGAUCUUGAAAAGUUAAAUGUCAAAAU